UACGUAGGGGGCAAGCGUUGUCCGGAUUUACUGGGCGUAAAGGGUACGCAGGCGGCCAUAUAAGUCAGAUGUGAAAUCCUAGGGCUCAACCCUAGUAAGCAUUUGAAACUGUGUGGCUUGAGUUAAGGAGAGGAAAGUGGAAUUCCUGGUGUAGCGGUGAAAUGCGUAGAUAUCAGGAGGAAUACCAGUGGCGAAGGCGACUUUCUGGACUUAUACUGACGCUGAGGUACGAAAGCGUGGGGAGCAAACAGGAUUAGAUACCCUGGUAGUCCACGCCGUAAACGAUGAGUGCUAGGUGUCGGGUGUCAAAGCUCGGUGCCGCAGUUAACACAUUAAGCACUCCGCCUGGGGAGUACGUUCGCAAGAAUGAA
rnacentral:rRNA from 1 species